AACGAACGCUGGCGGCAGGCCUAACACAUGCAAGUCGAGCGAGAUCUUCGGGUCUAGCGGCGGACGGGUGAGUAACGCGUGGGAAUAUGCCUCUUGGUACGGAAUAGCCUCGGGAAACUGGGAGUAAUACCGUAUGUGCCCUUUGGGGGAAAGAUUUAUCGCCAAGAGAUUAGCCCGCGUUGGAUUAGGUAGUUGGUGGGGUAAUGGCCUACCAAGCCGACGAUCCAUAGCUGGUUUGAGAGGAUGAUCAGCCACACUGGGGCUGAGACACGGCCCAGACUCCUACGCGAGGCAGCAGUGGGGAAUAUUAGACAAUGGGGGCAACCCUGAUCUAGCCAUGCCGCGUGAGUGAUGAAGGCCUUAGGGUUGUAAAGCUCUUUCAGCUGGGAAGAUAAUGACGGUACCAGCAGAAGAAGCCCCGGCUAACUCCGUG
rnacentral:rRNA from 1 species